CCUACGGGUGGCAGCAGUGAGGAAUAUUGGUCAAUGGACGAGAGUCUGAACCAGCCAAGUAGCGUGAAGGAUGACUGCCCUAUGGGUUGUAAACUUCUUUUAUAUGGGAAUAAAAUGUUCCACGUGUGGGAUUUUGUAUGUACCAUAUGAAUAAGGAUCGGCUAACUCCGUUCCAGCAGCCGCGGUAAUACGGAGGAUCCGAGCGUUAUCCGGAUUUAUUGGGUUUAAAGGGAGCGUAGGUGGAUUGUUAAGUCAGUUGUGAAAGUUUUCGGCUCAACCGUAAAAUUGCAGUUGAAACUGGCAGUCUUGAGUACAGUAGAGGUGGGCGGAAUUCGUGGUGUAGCGGUGAAAUGCUUAGAUAUCACGAAGAACUCCGAUUGCGAAGGCAGUUCACUGGACUGCAACUGACACUGAGGCUCGAAAGUGUGGGUAUCAAACAGGAUUAGAUACCCUUGUAGUC
rnacentral:rRNA from 1 species